rnacentral:lncRNA from 1 species
UUUGAUGUAAACAUAAAGGACAAAACUUGUAAUUUACUCUUUUUAUUAAGAUGUUAAUGUCAAACAAUCAAAGUAAAACCGUUUUUUGAAACCGAAUACGAGAACUUUUUUUCGAUCUCAUGGGUAAAGGAGACGAAUACCGCCCACCGGACUCUAUAUCGGGGAAGUGGACCGAUAUAAACAAGAAAUGCACAAACUUUCAAACCGUGUACCAACGCUUGUUUUCCGAAUGGAAAAGUGGAAGUAACGAUGAAGACAUUACGCAAGCGGCAUUGGUCGAGUAUACGGAGGCUAAUGGCCAUUUCCCGUAC